CGCCUCCCUCCUCUACACCCCUCUUUCCGACUUUUUAGCAAUUUAACGUUUCAAUCUCUGGGCUGGAACACACAACCUUUCACCAGAGCACGGGGCGGGGGGGGGGAGAGAAACGAAGCAGAAAAAAACUGCGGAUGAGGCAGAGGGACCAGCUUUGCCCCAGCACCCGCCACAAAUGCCCAGGCGAUUUUUCUCAGCAGCGGAAAAGCCCCGUGCUUAACAAAACUAUCCAGAGAUUCACGAUGCGAGGGGAAAAAGCCGGAGCUGCCCGAGCGCCGCGCAUCUCCCCUGUACGCUCCCACGGUGCCCGGCCGGAUCCAGCCCCGCUUCCCUUUGCUCUUUGUCCCGCCGGGGGGUUAGCAAACCCCUCUCGCUUGGUCAAAGCUCGUCCCAACCCUCGCCCCCCCCGGGGAGCCGGCAUUUUGCAGGUGGGGUCGGGGCAGGACCCCCUCCCCCCAAAACCGAGCAUCCCCCCCCCCCCCCCUACACCCGGCGGGGGCAGCUGCGCGGAAAGUGGAGCUCUUGGGAGGAAUUUUCAAGCCCUCCACCCCACCCUCGCAACACCCACGACCCCCUCGCCUGGAGGGAGGAAAAUAGGGAAAGAAAGGAUGGGUGCUGCAACAGCCCUGCGGAGGCUGCCCCUGCCCCAGGGCACCUCCUGUCCCCGCUGCCUCCCCCCCCGGUCGGAUCCAGCCGGAGGAGGCCGCUCCCGUCCCGUCUCAUUUGGGCUCACCCCAAACCUGGGGAAAGGAAAUGCCGGUCGCCACUUGCAGUGCAGUCGGGCCGGUUUUAUUUUUUUUUUUCAUUCCCCCCCCCACACACACCCCCCGCCUUUUUUUUUUUCCAGCAGCAUCAACAACAAAAAUACUCCAACGCCGUACAUGCAGGCAGAGUAAACUCAGCCCGGUACUGUUCUUUUUUUACUGUCCUUUUGUUCCCGGCGGGGCGGAUGAGGGGGUUGGGCCCCCCUCAACCCCGUCCCCCCCACCUUGCGGGACGGGGUGCAGCCCUCCCUUCCUUUCGGUGAAGCGGGGCAGUGAUAAAAGGAGACAGGGCUCUGAAAGGCUUUGAUUGAAAUGGCGUGUGCCAAGCUGAUGGGAGCCAGCGAGGGACAAAGCGGCGAGGAGCCAUGGACACUCGAGCAAUUAUUCCUCCACGCUGAAGGUGGAUUAGUGCAAUGGAAAGAAGCAUAUGUUCGGCCUGGGGCGACACUCCCCCCGGCUGGGUUUAGAGAAUGAGAGCAGAGAAAGAGGCUGAACCUGGAAUAUCAACUAUCCGGGAGACAGCCCUCCCAACCCCCUCCUCUCCCAGCCUCUCCAAAAUCGCAGGGAUGGUGAGAUAAAUACACCCGCCUGCAGAGACGAAGGGAUACUCAUGGACACCCAUGGACAUCCAUGGACAAGGGCAGAGGCACCCACACUUCUGCAUACAGCCACCUGCCUACACGCCUCCAAGCACGGCCACACGGAUGGACAGAGGGACACCCUGGAUGGAAAGCCUCCACGGGUGUGACGAUGCGAACAAACAAGCAGCCAGCCUCUGAGAGGCUCCUAGCAGCAGCCAGUGCUCUCCUGCAGGCUCCAGUUUCCCCAGUGCCUUCCCAAGAAACUUCCUAGAGGCAGCUGCAGUGAGGGAUGGGGUUAUCUCUGCCCCCUCACAGUCCUGCCUGAGCUACGUGGAAGGCUUGGGGCAAAACGCUUUUCCAUCAAAUUUUCUCCCUCUCCCCAGCUCCCUGCAAAAUCCUGUCCUUCCCAGUUAGGUGGCUGCAUGGGGAGUGCACAGAGAUGGGGAGAAGCCCCCUUGGCCAGUCCGAGCCUACACAGCAGCCCUCAGGAACAUCCUGCCCCCUAUCUCGGUGGCAAUGGGAAAACCCAUCUGCUAAAAGCCCAAACCUGAGCAGGGACAGCAGGAGCACGUUUUUGGCAUAUUUACACUCUAGCUCUUUGGGUCUACAGGGGAGGGGAGAGCUGAGGCCACAGCAGGGGCUCACCACAGCUAAGGUCCGGGCCACCCUGCUUGCAGAGCAGAAAGACAAUCCCCAAGCAGAAGAGGAAGGGCUGCGGGAGACAGGACUAGCAGUGGGAGCAGCACCCAGAAGUCAGGGGGAAGGCGAGGAGGGGGUGCUGGAGCUGCUGGGAGACAGCCAGCAGGCUCAGGAAGGGAACAAGGGAGAAGAUCAGAAAGGCAGCUCUCUCCUUCCCCACAGCCCCAAGCACCACUGAAAAUGUGUCCCGUGUAUUUCACACCUCUGCUUCUUUAUCCUCAGCUUUGGGCUUGGGGCAGAUUUCACAAAGAGAGGAGGGGGCAGCUGCACCCAGAGAAGCACAGGGCAGGAGUCCUGCAGGACCAACAAGCCAGUAGGAGCACAACCAAAACCAUCAUAGUGAAGUAACGUGCAUCCCUAAGCCUGAGAGCCCAACUGCAUGGCCCACGCUCCUGCCAGAAAACAACUCUCCAUUCAGAGCCCCCCCAUCUGCUUCCAAUAGACUAUUACAAAGGGAAUUAACCACACCACAGGCAACAAGAGCAGCAUGGCUCACGAGUACCUCUGGACAGGAAAGGUCUUCACAUAGAUCCUGUAAUGUCACGUGGAAACCAGGACUGGGGUGUGUGCACAUCUCACUUGAGCAACGACACUUAUUUCACAGCCAGCAGCCCUUCACCUCCCUGCUUUGAAAACAAGACAAUUUCUUCUGCACCCAGGACAUGCUUUCCUCCACCUGGUCUGAAGGUGUCCGUGCAAAUGAGUGACUAUGAGCAGACUAAUAAUUGCAGAGCUCAUGGUGAUAUUUGGAUGCCAGUGCCUGCCUUGAAGAAAAAAAAAAAAAAAAAAAGAAAAAAAAAAAAAAAAAAGCUGGAAACCAUUGGGUCCCUCCUACCCUACUAAAAAGCUCUCCAGGUAGACACAGAAUUAAUAGACUGAAUUCCACACCAUGUUCACUCAGUGAAGGUGCCUCAACCACUUCAUCAGAGAGAGGAGAAACGUUGGCCCUCUAAUUUGGGCCACUCAAGCCGAACACAACCUCAUGCAGAUGUGACUGCAGAGACUGUAAGAGGGAAUGAAAGCCCACAGAUCUGUUACCUGCUUGCUUACAGCACCAGGCACCAGAACAGAGGAGUAACAGCUCAAGGACACAAAUAUUUCCCUCUGUCAUAAGCUAUAUUUCUAUUUGCCCUGCCCAAAACAUUAGCCACCCAAGGAAGUCUAGCAAUUUCAACUAGAAAAAGAGAAACAAGGCCAUUCUGCUAUACUGGAACCUGUAAGGCUCCACUAGUAAAUAGCCAUGGCAGAAUUUUACUUUUCCUCUGCUUCCAAUUGCUUUAAAUUACUUAUUUUGGGGGAGUUUGGGGUUGCUCAACUAAAUACUGCAUUAGAGAGGACAAAUGAUUUAAGAACCAGGCUUGGCUGAUUUCUUUUUUUUCUCCAUCCUGGAGAUAAAAAGAAGGAACACAUUCUAGUAAUCCCUGCUCAUUUUCAUGGCCAUUCUUGCACCUGUAACUCAAAUAAUGAAGCCAUUUGUUAUUUAUAUUGCACUUUCCCCUCCAUUCUAGAUUUCUAACGAUCUGACCCUGUUUUAUGGCCCUGACAAAGCCUGAAACUGGUGUGGACUUCCAAUAAUUGAACGAUAUAGGGAAAAAUCUUUAGCUGGAAUGAAGCAGAUGUUAGCUUCAUGCAGUCCUCUAACUUGAU